CAUCAGCAGCCAGAUGAGAAUUGCUAGUCUGUAGGACAAUGCAAACAUUGUCCACCCGAUACUCAAGGUCUGAGCCUUCAGGUCCUCAAUGGUCUUGAGGUUGUGCCUCCAGGCU
rnacentral:miRNA from 1 species